rnacentral:sRNA from 14 species
UCGAUUACAUUACAACUGUCCUCAGCUUAUCUGAACACUUUUAUAGUACCCGAUGUUUGGAAGACGGGCAGUCUGAUCCCGCUAUUGAGACCUGAAAAUGACACGAGCAAGGGGGAGUCGUACAGACCGAUCACUCUUCUCUCAUCAGCAUUCAAGACGCAUGAGGGACUACUCCUCCCGCUCCUCUCGUUGGACAAUUUAUAUUCGCCAAGCAUCAGCAUGCAUUUCAAAGGAUGGAUAGGACUACAACUGCUUUAUAUGCCAUCACCGUAUAUAAAUGUACACUUGUUCUGCUGACAAAGAUACCUUGAACUAACAAUCUAAUGCUUACGGAUAUUGUGACUUGAUAAAUUGUUAGGUUAGGUUAGGUCCAUUGUGAUACCACAGGAACAGAAGAAGGAAGAUGCCUUCUUGUUCUUACCGUUGACUCAUCCAGAUCGUUUUAAAAAGCCCAGUAACUUACGAAUGAUAAAUUGUUGCGACCACUGAUGUCAGGCUAAAGGAUCUUUCUAUUUGGUCAUGUUUCGGCUCCGGACACUUUGUUAUCAUUUAAGAUAUCUGUAUCCGUUCCCAAUUGGCAGACUUAUUUUCACAAAUUUUUUUUAAUCCCACUGUGCGUCACUUUUUUAACUGCUCUGCUAGACCCAAUCAAUCCCAUGGCAGCAUCUUCCCUCCUUAACAAAUUCAAAGGAACGGUGUUGGUUUCAUCGUAGCUCUUCGAUGAGGACGAUUCCAUCAAAACCCUUAAGAAACCGAUAAUUGCUCUUCUCUUGGUGUCUGGAAGGAUACAGCGGAACAAAUGUUUGAGUUCCCGAACACAGUUAACACAAAGCUGUAUCACAUACAUAGUUAUCGAUACCAUGCGACAACACGUGGUUUCCACUGUAUCAAGGGGGAUAAUAUUUUUUUUUUUUUGGUUUUAAUUGACGCUUUUGGUGGAACACCAGAGGUGUACAUUCACCGGGACUGGAUAAGUGUUUAUACAAUGAAAAAAUGAGAUGGUCCUCAUCUUCUACGACGUUACAUAAGCUGCACAGGUUGCUCUCCAGGAUUCCUACCCUGUUAUUUUUCCGAUUAGAUUUUGUGUGUCCGUUGCCGAAAAGUUGUGCCGUAUUGAACAACAAGCUUCAACUGCGUGCCUCGCAAAAUAAUCCGCUUUCUCAUUUGGUGCAAAUCCUACAUGUGAAGUCCUCCAGAUAACUUUGGAGGCUUGGAUUGCUUAUCGAUCAAGGGAAACAAAUUUUCAUAUUGUGGAUCAUCAAGUACCGCAUGCACAUUUGCGGAAUCUAAUGACGAGUGAUCAUUCUAAUAACAAACAAUACUCGAACAGGGUCCUUGCCUUGACCGCAGAGGGGAUACCACUUUUUUGAACGGCACCGAAGAGCAACCUUCCACAAUUCUUGCAAAUGCGAAUAGCCAAAGCAUAAAGCUCGGCUGCAGCUUUGGUAUUGAACAUAUUUACUGUUGUUAUUUUCCUUUCAGAUAUAAUACCAACUUUGAUUGUUUCAGAAGGCAUGAAUUUAUCACUGCCAUCCCUCCUAUUAAACCUGAAUACAGACACUGCAUCGAAAUCAUUAUUGUUAUUGUUUAUACUUUCCAUUAUCAUUUCACCAGUAAAUUAUAAUGGAGAUUUUUUGUAAAAAAUACUCCGGUAUUAAGGCUUCCAAGCCAAUGCCAUUUAGGGCGGGAUUAACUGCAAAAUUAUUGGCUGCUAUGUAAUUAUUAAAAGAAAGUCUGAAUGUUUUAUUAGCAAUGUUUUUGGAGAUAAAAUGUUCACUUAUAUUCGCUUUUUUCAAUUUUGCAUAUAAAAAUAAUUCAGAAUUUUUCCUUCUAGCACUGAUUGGUUCUUCGGAUGAUACUAGAACAUAAAAAGGGUCCGGUGAGAUUCGGAUUGAAGUACCAGCAUUUGCAUCACUAAAUUUAUUUUGUUUUUUUCGUUCACUUUCUGAAUUUUACCUGUACACGUACACACACCAGCGCAUGUUUUUUUUGUUGUGUUAAGAACAGUGUCGUUUUUGAAAUAACAUCUUGAUGACAAGAUGGCGGAUUGCACCAUAUGAUUUGUGGUUGUUGUAUAAAUAAGACCACAUUUAAUUGUUUCACCAUGCCAUUUCAGUACCAAAACAAAACACACUAUUUUAAUCAGAUAUCAUGCAAUAACAGUCAAUCUAGUUAUUUUCUAUUUACUUUGUCAAUGUUGUUUGCGGUUUGUUUUAAUAAAUAUGCUGUGUUUUAUUUUAGUCCUAUCCAGUGCAAGUCAGAUGUUCUAAAUAAAAUAUUAGUGCAAAGUUGUAUUGGUAAGUUAUCAAUAUCAUGCGAUUUAAGCUAUGAAUUGUGUUUUAUUUAAGUAUAUAUAUCAAAAAACUGCAGCAAGUAGCAAAAAAUUUCAAGCACACUUGUUCAGGGACUCGAUAUAUAUUGAUGUCUUUGUUUGUGUGGAUGAACCUAGA